rnacentral:rRNA from 1 species
GACGAACGCUGGCGGCGUGCUUAAUACAUGCAAGUCGAGCGGAAUGAUGAAGAAGCUUGCUUCUUCUGAUUUUAGCGGCGGACGGGUGAGUAACACGUGGGCAACCUACCUUGUAGAUUGGGAUAACUCCGGGAAACCGGGGCUAAUACCGAAUAAUCCAUUUCGCUUCAUGGCGGAAUGUUAAAAGGCGGCUUUUAGCUGUCACUGCAAGAUGGGCCCGCGGCGCAUUAGCUAGUUGGUAGGGUAACGGCCUACCAAGGCGACGAUGCGUAGCCGACCUGAGAGGGUGAUCGGCCACACUGGGACUGAGACACGGCCCAGACUCCUACGGGAGGCAGCAGUAGGGAAUCUUCCACAAUGGACGAAAGUCUGAAGGAGCAACGCCGCGUGAGUGAAGAAGGUUUUCGGAUCGUAAAACUCUGUUGUAAGGGAAGAACACGUACGAGAGUAACUGCUCGUACCUUGACGGUACCUUAUUAGAAAGCCACGGCUAACUACGUGCCAGCCGCCGCAGUAAGAC